CGUGAAGAGAAAAUGUGUGUUUUUUGAGUUAAAUGGGAAAUUUGCAAAGACAAAGCGCGUGAUUUUGGGGUUAAGUGGGGGAUUCCCGAAGAGAAAACGCAUGAUUUUCAAGUUAAAUGGGGGAUUCCCGAAGAGAAACUGCGUGAAUUUCUUUUAAAUGGGGGAUUUCUGAAGAGAAACCAGGUAUUUAUGUUCUUAAACGGGGGAUUCUUGAAGAGAAAACGUGUGAUUUUGGGGUUAAAUGGGGGAUUUCAGAAAAGAAAACGCGUGAUCUUCGGGUUAAAUGGGGGAUUCUCGAAGAGAAAACGCGUGAUUUUUGGGUUAACUGGGGUAUUUCCAAAGUGAAAAUGCUUGAUAUUCGGGUUAAAUGGGGAUUUCCGAAGAGAAAACGCAUGAUUUUCAGGUUAAAUGGGGGAUUUCCGAAGAGAAAACGCGUGAUUUUCAGUUAAAUGGGGGAUUCUCGAAGAGAAAACACAUGAUAUUCGCUUAAAUGGGGGAUUUCC
ensembl:lncRNA